rnacentral:rRNA from 1 species
AUGUCGGAGAAGAAGCGCGCCCCCGGCCCGCGCAAGGACGAGGUGGUGACACGCGAGUACACCGUCAACCUCCACAAGCGCCUCCAUGGAUGUAUAUUCUGCUUUCUAUUUGUUUGUUUGUUAAUCUAGUAAGUUUAUUGCACCUUCAAGAAGAAGGCACCAAAUGCCAUCAAGGAGAUCAGGAAGUUUGCACAGAAGGCCAUGGGAACCAACGAUGUCCGCAUUGACGUGAAGCUCAACAAGCACAUCUGGAGCAGUGGCAUCAGGAGUGUCCCGAGGAGAGUCCGUGUCAGGAUUGCCCGCAAGAGGAAUGACGAGGAGGACGCUAAGGAGGAGCUGUACUCUCUGGUCACAGUUGCUGAAGUUCCCCAGGAAGGUCUUAAAGGUUUGGGUACCAAGGUUGUGGAGGAUGAGGACUAA